CGUUGGAAAGGUUAUUCGGUGUCUAUCCCAGUAUACUGCGUAACUGUUUUCAUAUACAUUGUCAGUCUUAUUCUAACGUUGGGAGAUGUAAAAACGAUAUUAGAUAAUUAUCUAAUUAAUUUUUUGUAUAAAUGAAAUUGAUUGUUGUUAUGCAAAUAAUAUGCAUAUGUGAGAGAGUGUGUAUAUUACUGGAUCCCGUAGGUGGAUUUGGUUCGGCGUCGGGGCGUUCGAAAAUUGGUAUUGGCGUGGCCUGGAGCGGCAGCAGCCGCAGCACCACCAGCAGUAACAGCAGCAACAGCAACGAUAGUAGUACCAGCACCGAUGGAAGCACCAGUACCGGGGAGUUUCUACUUGGAACGCCGGUGUGCCGGGGGUGUGACAGGGACAAAAAGAAGAAGAAACAAAUAAGAAAAAG